rnacentral:rRNA from 1 species
UACGAAGGGGGCUAGCGUUGCUCGGAAUUACUGGGCGUAAAGCGCACGUAGGCGGCACUGUUAGUCAGGCGUGAAAGUCCUGGGCUCAACCUGGGAACUGCGCUUGAUACGGCAGAGCUAGAGGAUGGAAGAGGGUCGCGGAAUUCCCAGUGUAGAGGUGAAAUUCGUAGAUAUUGGGAAGAACACCGGUGGCGAAGGCGGCGACCUGGUCCAUUACUGACGCUGAGGCGCGACAGCGUGGGGAGCAAACAGG